rnacentral:rRNA from 1 species
UACGGAGGGUGCAAGCGUUAUCCGGAAUCAUUGGGUUUAAAGGGUCCGCAGGCGGUCUUAUAAGUCAGUGGUGAAAUCUCUCAGCUUAACUGAGAAACUGCCAUUGAUACUGUAGGACUUGAAUUUGGUCGAAGUGGGCGGAAUAUGACAUGUAGCGGUGAAAUGCAUAGAUAUGUCAUAGAACACCGAUAGCGAAGGCAGCUCACUAGGCCAACAUUGACGCUCAUGGACGAAAGCGUGGGGAGCAAACAGGAUUAGAAACCCGGGUAGU